rnacentral:rRNA from 13 species
GUGCACCUUUACUACAGCUUUGCAGUGGUAUCAGGAUGUGAAUGUGCAGAAUAGGUGGGAGGCUUUGAAGCCAUGGCGCCAGCCAUGGUGGAGCCACCUUUGAGAUACCACCCUUUUGCUUCCUGAUAUCUAACCGAGGUCCGUUAUCCGGAUCCGGGACCCUGCAUGGCGGGUAGUUUGACUGGGGCGGGCGCCCCCCAAAACGGAAACGGGG